GUACCAGACUCCUACGGGAGGCAGCAGUGGGGAAUAUUGCACAAUGGGGGGAACCCUGAUGCAGCGACGCCGCGUGGGUGAAGGAGCACCUCGGUGCGUAAAGCCCUAUCGGCAGGGAAGAAACAGACGGUACCUGACUAAGAAGCCCCGGCUAACUACGUGCCAGCAGCCGCGGUAAUACGUAGGGGGCAAGCGUUAUCCGGAUUUACUGGGUGUAAAGGGAGCGUAGGCGGUUAGAUAAGUCUGAUGUGAAAGCCCACAGCUUAACUGUGGGAUUGCAUUGGAAACUAUAGAACUAGAGUGUCGGAGAGGUAAGUGGAAUUCCUAGUGUAGCGGUGAAAUGCGUAGAUAUUAGGAGGAACACCAGUGGCGAAGGCGGCCUGCUGGACGAUGACUGACGCUGAGGCUCGAAAGCGUGGGGAGCAAACAGGAUUAGAUACCCCGGUAAC
rnacentral:rRNA from 1 species